rnacentral:rRNA from 1 species
GACAGAGGGUGCAAACGUUGUUCGGAAUUACUGGGCGUAAAGCGCGUGUAGGCGGUCUCGCAAGUCGGAUGUGAAAGCCCAGGGCUCAACCCUGGAAGUGCACUCGAUACUGCGAGGCUAGAGUCCCGGAGAGGAUGGUGGAACCUCGUCGGUGUAGAGGUGAAAUUCGUAGAUAUCGGGAGGAACACCUGUGGCGAAGGCGGCCGACU